UUAGUGCGCAGCACCUCUCUGUGCGGAAUGCGCGCCAAUCACUAGCGGCACCCCCCAGCCUGCCCUGUCCCCACCGCAAUCCCGGUUGCCGCCAGCGAGCGCACUGUGCCUGGCAUUAUCUCCGCCGGACACUGUGCUGGCUGCACUACACAAUACCCACAGUGUGUGCGGCAUCUCCUCCCCUCCCUCCUAGCGGCAGCAGCACUAGCACUUCCUCCCCUCACCCCUCCUCCAUCCGCCUCCCCUUCUCCUCGCCGCCUCCUCCAAACAACACGGCGGCGGCGCUUCUACAUCACCCGACAACAUGGAGGCCGUCAAAACGUUUAACAGCGAGGGUCGACAUCAGGGUAUAGAAGUGCCCCUAUAUCGUUCUAGUCAGUUAUACUCGCUCAAUGACUACAAGCCUCCAAUUUCCAAGGCUAAAAUGACACAGAUCACCAAGGCUGCAAUUAAAGCCAUAAAGUUUUACAAGCAUGUUGUCCAGAGUGUUGAGAAAUUUGUACAAAAGUGUAAACCAGAAUACAAAGUUCCUGGCCUGUAUGUUAUUGACUCCAUUGUUCGACAAUCCAGACAUCAGUUUGGUCAAGAGAAGGAUCUAUUUGCUCCUCGGUUUAGCAACAACAUAAUCAACACUUUCCAGAACUUAUAUCGCUGCGCUUCAGAUGACAAGAGCAAAAUUGUAAGAGUGCUGAAUUUGUGGCAAAAGAACAAUGUGUUCAAGAGUGAAAUUAUCCAACCUCUGCUUGAUAUGGCUGCUGGUAUUCCUCCCCCCGUUGUCACACCUGUCUUACCUAGUACUGCAGCAACUGUUAGUAAUACACCAGGCACUCCAGCAACACCAGUUACGCCAGCGAAUGUAGUUCCCGUCAUACCUGAUCCAUGGCUUGCUCAUAUAACAAAUACAGACACCCUUGCCGCAGUUGCUCAGAUUCUACAAAGCCCUCAGGGACAACAGCUUCAGCAGUUGGUUCAGUCUUUGCAUGUCCACCAACAGAAGCCCCAGCCUUCACUUCUGCAAGCACUAGAUGCUGGCCUAGUAGUUCAACUGCAAGCACUUACAGCACAGCUUACAGCUGCAGCUACUGCAUCAAACACGCUCGAUCCAUUAGAGCAAAGUGUAUCUCUUAGUAAGAAACUCAUGGAUAGGUUUGAUUUUGGGGAUGAUACUGUCCACACAGAGGACACAAAAAAGAACACACCUCAAAUCCAUCGUGUAUCAGAAUCUGUAAACAACUCCCUUUUCCAUCAACUUGCGGAACACUUGCAGCAACAAAAUUUAGAACAUCUACGCCAGCAGUUCUUGGAGCAGCAACAUACUCCAAAGAUGUCAGCUCAGGAAAACCAAGACAUGAUGUCUGAAUCGGAAAAUUCUGCUACACCGUCCCAGGAUGACAGCCAGCAAGCAUUUUUGGAGAAAGAAGCACAGGUUCAUGCUUCAUUAAAUAUGCAAGAGGAUAUGGAUAUUGAGGAAAUGCAGGAUGUAACUGAAGAUCUGUUUGAAAAGGAGGAAAAGAAAAUGAUAAAAGAGGAAAUACCAAGGACACGUUCCAAAUCCAGAUCAAGGUCACCAAGGAAAAGACGUUCAAGGUCCCGUUCUGGAUCCAGGAAGCGUAAGCACAGAAAACGUUCUCGCUCAAGGUCAAGGGAAAGAAAACGAAAGACCUCCAGGUCAUACUCAAGUGAAAGAAGAGCAAGAGAGCGAGAGAAAGAGAGACAAAAAAAAGGCUUGCCUGCUAUUCGUUCCAAAACUCUUAGUGUGUGCAGUACCACGCUGUGGGUGGGACAGGUUGACAAAAAGGCCACUCAACAAGACUUGACAAACGUAUUUGAAGAGUUCGGGCAAAUUGAAUCAAUCAAUAUGAUUCCACCUCGAGGUUGUGCAUAUGUUUGUAUGGUGCACAGACAAGAUGCUUUUAGGGCUCUUCAAAAGCUUAGUGCUGGCUCUUGUAAGAUUGGAUCAAAAAUCAUCAAGAUUGCCUGGGCUUUAAAUAAAGGUGUGAAAACUGAAUACAAACAGUUCUGGGAUGUUGAUCUUGGAGUAACAUAUAUUCCAUGGGAGAAAGUGAAAUUAGAUGAUCUAGAUGACUUUGCAGAAGGUGGAAUGAUUGAUCAAGAAACCGUUAAUAAUGAUUGGGAAACUCAAAGAAACCCAGAGCCUGUUGUAGUGAAAGAGCCUGCUCCUGCACCUGUUCCCACUACUACUGUUCAGAGUCCAAUUGUUCCUAAACCUCAAAUAAUAACAACUCAAACCGAGGCAUAUACUCAGCCUGUUGCAAUGCUUCAGAUUCCAGUGGCUUCUUCUGUCCCUGCUGUAAGUUUAGUACCACCUGCAUUUCCUGUGUCCAUGUCGGUUCCUCCACCUGGCUUCACUGCUAUUCCUCCACCUCCGUUCAUGCGAAGUUUCAACCCUUCCCAACCACCCCCAGGUUUUAUUCCGUCACAUGUCCCACCACCGACCAUGCCCCCUCCUGCUAUCAGCACAACUAUUCCAACAGUUCCACGCCUGCCCAUCUCUGCAGAUAUUAUGAAAGAGGUGUCAUAUAGCAGUCUGAUGCUACCUGUUGGGUCCGUUGUAACCACAUCAGCGCAGACUUCAUCUAUUUUCAAUGCAGUUUCUCAAGAAGAAAAAAGGCUAACUGCUGCAGACAUUGUCACUGAAAGAAUGGCUUCAAAUGCCACUCAAAGUACAGUUGUCAGUAAUGCUGGAAUCUUCGGAUUACAACCACAACCCCCUAUUACUGCAACUGUUCCUCAUCUGAGCAUGUCUACUAGAAUAGCGGGUAUGCCUUUCUUGGAUAUUCGUCCUGGUUUACUGCCACAAACCGCAACUGCAAGAUUUGCUUUAUUAGCUCCAGGAAUGCCACCUCCGCCACCACCACCAAGGAGCAUGCUUCCUCCAGUGCUUACUGACCCAACUUUGCAUUCUCUUGCUUUCCCACCAGGAGAUAUUUUUCCUCGCCCUGGUAUUCCAUCUAGACUGAAUUCUGAUAAUCCCACUCAAGACGAAAGUGUCACACUGCAACGCAGUAACAUCCAACAAGAUGGUGACCAAGAUUACCGCUUCCCUCCCAUAGAAAACCGUGAGACAGUUAGCCAACCCCCUGGGAGUGAACAUGAAAAAGAAAGUAUUGCAUUAGCAGGAAGCCAAGAAAAUAAAAGUGUGAGCUCUACUGAAGAAAUUGAUAAUGUUAGACAUAUAGAAGAUGAUCUUGAACCACAGGAUAUGGCUGUUGUGGAUCCUUGUGAAGGUCAGGAGAAACUUACAGAAUCUACUGUAGGAGAAUUAUCUCCUGAAGGUGCACAUGAAGGUAAAAGGAAAGCUGAUGCACAUUCUCUUGAAACUUUAGUAAGUUCUGAACCUCAUCCUUAUGGAAAUAUGCUACAAACUCACCCUGAAGCUCAUGAUAUUCCACUCAGACCACAGUUAGAUGCUAGACAACAUUUUGGCAGCCCUCCACUAGAUUUAUUACUACCAUUUGGUAGACAUCCACUUGAGAUGAGGGAAAUGUUUGGGAGGCCACCAACAGAUGGGCGAGAUCAUUUUAGUAGACCCUCCCCAGGGGGAAGGGACCAUCUUGGCAGGCCGCCAAUGGAUAAUAGAGAUCACUUUGGACGACCUAUCAUAGAUGGUAGAAAUUCUUUUGGAAGACCACCAAUGGAUGACAGAGAUCAGUUUGGGAGACCACCAUUAGAUAUGAGGGAUCACUUUGGUAGACCAAAUGCAGAUGGUGGUAGAAGGGAGCAAUUAAAUUUUCCUCCAGAUAAACUGUGGGGUCAUAGAGGAGAUUUUGAUGAAAGACAACAUCAUUCUUUCCCCGACUUUGGUGGUCCAAAGGGCUUCCAAGAUGAAAGGCAUCGUCAUGGAAACUACCGACUUGAGCCCAGGAAUGUACCAGGCUGGAACAGAGGAUUUGAGCCAGAUGCACACAGGGAUUUUGAUGACCGUCGCCGUUCUUGGGAAAGACACAGGGAUAGGGAUGAUCGAGAAUUUGGUUUCCGCAGAGAAAUGAAUGGCAACCGCUUUGGAAGGGAGAGGCAGUCAAGCAGUUGGAUGCCUCCUCAACCACAAAUUUUUGAAUAUUUCCCAGAGGCCACUACCACUAAGGAGGAGGAUGAUGAUGAUGAUGAUGAUGAUGAUGAUGAUGAUGAUGUGCCUCAAGUUAAUGGUGAAAUGCCAGAGACUGGCAGUCCACAACAAACUGUUAAAAAUUCAAUUGAUCCUGAACUUUGCGAACAAGAAUCCUCAGACAAAGUGAAUGAAGUAAAAGAGGUCACGGACGCUGAAGUAGAAAAUCAACCAGUGGUUGAAAGCACAGAAACUGAGGGAACAUAAUCAUCACUCAGUAGGCAGUGUCUGUUUCUUGGAACUGAGAAAGGAAAUUGUGGAAUGAGAACUAAUAUCAGUGUGGAUGAGAUAAAACGUGGUCACAUGGACUGUUGAGAACAUCAGCCAUCUCUACAGGACAAUGUUUCCAUUAGCGCUUUCUUCAAGUGAAGUUGCAGAGAAAGCCAGAAGAAGAUAGAAAACACCUGCAAGUUCAUCCUGUGUGAAGUAUCCAAUGGAAAACAAAUCUACCCUAAAAUUCUUAAUGCUUCCUGCGGUCUUCCCUCCCUGCCUAGUAGAUACACAGAACAGGAACUAUCUGGUGACUCCGAGUCAGCUGCCCACUGCUACUUAGGAACCACUUGGCAGCAGCUAGUCCAGCAGGAGCUGCCAGCAGGCUACAGCACAGUCCUCCUCCACAACCAUCCAUUGUAAAAUGAAACACAAUUGGCAGUGAUUGAUUUAUAGAAAUAUCUGGCCGUGAAAAAUAUAUUUAAAAUGCCAUAUUCUGAAUAGUUUAUAUAUCACAGUUAAUCCAAGAUGUAAAAUCAAAUACUGUUUUGGUAUGCCACUGUUUUAUAGAGAACUACAUGGCUAUUCUGACAAGCUACUCGUGGCAUAGGAAUGUGUUGUCGUAGGUUAACUGUAACUCAGCUUCUGUUCUUACUGUCACUGAAGACAGAAACUCAGCUUUUAUCAUACUUACAUCCGGGAGAGAGCAGCCAGGUCGGCUCAGUAGGUGAGGGGCAGGACUAUGAUGUGCAGAGGAGGCGGAGGCGGGGGAUUGGGGCGUGGUUACCAUGUUACAUCAUUGUAGACAUGUCCGCUGAUCUGUAAUGCAGAUAUUACCGGCAUACUGCGGGGGGCGUAGCUAUGAUGACGUGAUUCAUGAAAAGAAGGAUUUUGGUGGAUUGUUGCGCACUUUGGGAAAGGAAUAUGCCGCAAACCAAUAAAAAUACCAAAAAGACACUAACAUCAAUGUCAAAAUUAAGGCACAAACAAAAGUUAGGUAUUUGUGAUGAGCGCUGUUCCUUCCCAAGGACGUGUGCAAAAAUUAUUUACUAAAUGUCCAAUUUCUUAAAAAGACAUUUUAUUUUCAUAUCCAUGAUAAUUUGGUGACACAAUGCACAUUAUACAUGGAUUAGACAUACAUAAAACAUGGAAACAUUUAGGUAAAAUGAUGAAAUAUUGCACAGACCCUUAUUUGCGAGCAAAUAGCAGGACAGUCUAUGUGCAAAUCAUAAAAUGGUGGAACUUCUGGCUCAUACCGUAAGAGGCAUGUGGUGUGUGCCUUUGAUGUAAAUGGGGUUCCAGCUGGCAGCCCAGCAACACACCACACACUUUGCCAAUGUAGAUGGAUAUCACGGGUUCCCGGUGAGAGUCCAAGAAGAACAAAGUUCCAUUAGUAGCACGGCACCCAGCAAGAAUCGCGUCAUCGACUGCACGGACCACUCACUUUACUCACUAAGUGGGUGGCCGGGCAGGGAGAGACCGUAAAAAUCGGGAAACUGGCCUGCUCUUUGGGAGCCUCCCGGCCAUCCCGUGAGAGUAGGCAAGUAUGGUUUUUAUACAGAAUAGUAUAUAUAGAAUAGUAUAUAAUUACCAGCAGCGCGAAGGUGCCCAAUAAUGGAAAUAAGGAACGAGCAAAUGGUAUCUUCCCAAUUAGGGCUUCUCCUCUGAGCACCGUCUUGGUAUACAUUCCACUACCUCACUUUCACUUUAGUUAUAUGCUGUAGAUGACAGAUGCAGUCUUUAAAUUGUUUCAUCAUAUUAUGAUAUUCAGGCUUGGGUACACUUACAGUAGGUGGUGGUUACCAGCUACAUUGAAAACAUAAUAACAUUUUCGGGCUGCUGCAGAGUUUACUAAAAAAAAAUGUUAAUGUCGCUGUUUUGGGGUUCUGAUCAAUGGAAAGACCUUCAUGCUGAACUGAUGAGGAGUAAUGAAACAUAGGAAGUUGAAUAGGUGUUCUGCGCACAGACCAGAGUGGACCAACAAGUUGGGUUGACUCUGGACCACAAUCAGUUUUGAACCAGAUAACUGGAAUCCGCUAGCUAAACUCUGGAACCAAUAUGAGAAACUCAACUCCAGGCCUGAACCCCAAAACUAUGAAGCUGGAACCUGCUUCCAGGAACUCAGGGAUCUGAAACAGAGGAGACUCAGCAACCUAUAACUAGACUGGAAUCUGAUAAAUUAAGCACUUCACAGGAACUCAGGCUGGGCAGCUGAGAUCUGUUUCCUAAUAUAGGGACAUAACCCAGAACCAUCACCCAAGCAUCCAUGGUUGGCCAAACCACCAGAGACUAAUCACAUGCCUCAACUACCAACCAGUGGAACCAAGAGUAUGAACCUCCACUUUAGUUCGUCUCAGAAGCUGAUGAAAUUUCUGGUGUGAUGUAUACUUGCUGAGAAGGAAAGACAGAAGCUGAGCAUUGGUAGUGUAAAGCGUAAGAGCAACCUGUGGGAACCUGCAAUGAUCCUAACAAGAGAGUGUGAGAUUCCGCACAGACCUGAUCCCAAGGGAUCUGUUUAUAUGUGUAGUAUUAUAACAGACUAACAUUUGUGAGGAAUCUCAGAAUUUAUUCAUUAGUAAAGCUCCAUUGGUGGUGCUCCGAUGAGUCAUACAUUAUAACAUAUGUAAGGAAGAGAAGAAAAGAAAACUCUUUUUGUUGGGACACGCUUAAGAAAUGUAUUUUUAUUGGCAUUAAGACAUAAUAUAAUAAUAUAUUUAUUGAUAUGCAUUAAAACCAACAUUCCUUCUGCCUGCUAAAGAGUGGAACUUAACAGAAUGUGCAACGGUAUAAGUUGUGCAUAAGAACACAGUGUGCAAAGCUGCAAAAAUUACAAAGUUUACACAAAGCAAGAUACAUACAGUAUGUGCAAGAGAUACAGACAAUGUAACACUUUAAAAAGGGUAAAAAUGCAAGGUAUGUUUCAGCCAAUGUUGUAAGCGAUUCUCAACAAUGGUUAGGUAUUAUCCCGCUAA